rnacentral:rRNA from 1 species
AAAGAAACCAACAGGGAUUGCCCCAGUAACGGCGAGUGAAGCGGCAAAAGCUCAAAUUUGAAAUCUGGCUCCUUAGGGGGUCCGAGUUGUAAUUUGUAGAGGAUGCUUCGGGUGCGGCCACGGCCUAAGUUCCUUGGAACAGGACGUCAUAGAGGGUGAGAAUCCCGUCUUGGGUCGUUGGUCCACGCCCGUGUGAAGCUCCUUCGACGAGUCGAGUUGUUUGGGAAUGCAGCUCUAAGCGGGUGGUAAAUUUCAUCUAAAGCUAAAUAUUGGCCGGAGACCGAUAGCGCACAAGUAGAGUGAUCGAAAGGUUAAAAGCACCUUGAAAAGGGAGUUAAACAGCACGUGAAAUUGUUGAAAGGGAAGCGCUUGCGGCCAGACUCGAGCGCGGGGCUCAUCAGGUGCGUGUCACCUGUGCACUCCCCGCCGCUCGGGCCAGCAUCAGUUCUGACGGCCGGUCAAAGGCCCCCGGAAUGUGUCGUCUCUCGGGACGUCUUAUAGCCGGGGGUGCAAUGCGGCCCGCCGGGACUGAGGAACGCGCUUCGGCUCGGAUGCUGGCAU